rnacentral:rRNA from 1 species
CUGGCUCAGGAUGAACGCUAGCUACAGGCUUAACACAUGCAAGUCGAGGGGCAGCAUGAACUUAGCUUGCUAAGUUGAUGGCGACCGGCGCACGGGUGAGUAACGCGUAUCCAACCUGGCCCUUAGUAGGGGGAUAGCCCGGCGAAAGUCCGGAUUAAUACCCUAUGUUUUUCCGAUGCGAGCAUUCAAUUUGGAACAAAGAUUCAUCGCUAAGGGAUGGGGAUGCGUCUGAUUAGGUAGUCGGCGGGGUAACGGCCCACCGAGCCGACGAUCAGUAGGGGUUCUGAGAGGAAGGUCCCCCACAUUGGUACUGAGACACGGACCAAACUCCUACGGGAGGCAGCAGUGAGGAAUAUUGGUCAAUGGGCGAGAGCCUGAACCAGCCAAGUAGCGUGCAGGAUGACGGCCCUAUGGGUUGUAAACUGUCUUUUGGAGGGGAAUAAAGUGAGGCACGUGUGCCUUUUUGUAUGUACCCUCAGAAUAAGGACCGGCUAAUUCCGUGCCAGCAGCGGC